rnacentral:rRNA from 1 species
AUUGAACGCUGGCGGCAGGCUUAACACAUGCAAGUCGAGCGGAGAUGAGGUGCUUGCACCUUAUCUUAGCGGCGGACGGGUGAGUAACGCUUAGGAAUCUGCCUAUUAGUGGGGGACAACAUUCCGAAAGGAAUGCUAAUACCGCAUACGUCCUACGGGAGAAAGCAGGGGAUCUUCGGACCUUGCGCUAAUAGAUGAGCCUAAGUCGGAUUAGCUAGUUGGUGGGGUAAAGGCCUACCAAGGCGACGAUCUGUAGCGGGUCUGAGAGGAUGAUCCGCCACACUGGGGCUGGGACCCGGCCCGGACUCCUACGGGAGGCAGCAGUGGGGAAUAUUGGACAAUGGGGGGAACCCUGAUCCAGCCAUGCCGCGUGUGUGAAGAAGGCCUUAUGGUUGUAAAGCACUUUAAGCGAGGAGGAGGCUACUGAGACUAAUACUCUUGGAUAGUGGACGUUACUCGCAGAAUAAGCACCGGCUAACUCUGUGCCAGCAGCCGCCGUAA